rnacentral:rRNA from 1 species
UGGGGAAUAUUGCGCAAUGGGGGAAAACCCUGACGCAGCGACGCCGUGUGAGGGAAGAAGGCUUUCGGGUCGUAAACCUCUGUCGGGAAGGAAGAACCCCCUCGGGUCCCAAUAGGGCUCGAGGCUGACGGUACUUCCAAAGGAAGCACCGGCUAACUCCGUGCCAGCAGCCGCGGUAAUACGGAGGGUGCAAGCGUUAAAUCGGAAUCACUGGGCGUAAAGCGCGCGUAGGCGGCCUUUUAAGUCGGACGUGAAAGCCCUCGGCUCAACCGGGGAAUUGCGUUCGAUACUGGGAGGCUUGAGUCCUGGAGAGGGUGGCGGUAAUUCCGGGUGAGGAGUGGAAAUCCGUAGAUAUCCGGAGGAACACCGGUGGCGAAGGCGGCCGACCUGGACAGGUACUGA